CCAACAGAUCCGCGGAAACGGACUACGAUCUUCGUCAGUGGCCGCUGAGCAGCCAGUAGUGUAUUAUCACCGUGGAAAUUAACUUAUAGACAUUAAUUAUAUUAUAGUUUAUAGUUAGUGUAUUAUUACAUUUUCUAAAGUUAUAAUAAACCAAAACUGUACCUCGAGAAUCAACAUGAAUACAACUUCAAUAACAAAUAGCCAGAGAUUAAACAUCAAACGAUAACAAUUUGUGAAAUAAAAACAUCAAAUUGAAUUUUUAAAUGCAACAAUUAACACAAUUGAAAAUAUGACUUCAACAUCAAAUAUGAAAAGCUGAGAUCAUGUGGAAUAAAAACAUCAAAUUGAAUUUUUAAAUGCAACAAUUAACACAAUUGAAAAUAUGACUUCAACAUCAAAUAUGAAAAGCUGAGAUCAUGUGGAAUAAAAACAUCAUAUUGAAUUUUUAAAUGCAACAAUUAACACAAUUGAAAAUAUGACUUCAACAUCAAAUAUGAAAAGCUGAGAUCAUGUGGAAUAAAAACAUCAUAUUGAAUUUUUAAAUGCAACAAUUAACACAAUUGAAAAUAUGACUUCAACAUCAAAUAUGAAAAGCUGAGAUCAUGUGGAAUAAAAACAUCAAAUUGAAUUUUUAAAUGCAACAAUUAACACAAUUGAAAAUAUGACUUCAACAUCAAAUAUGAAAAGCUGAGAUCAUGUGGAAUAAAAACAUCAAAUUGAAUUUUUAAAUGCAACAAUUAACACAAUUGAAAAUAUGACUUCAACAUCAAAUAUGAAAAGCUGAGAUCAUGUGGAAUAAAAACAUCAAAUUGAAUUUUUAAAUGCAACAAUUAACACAAUUGAAAAUAUGACUUCAACAUCAAAUAUGAAAAGCUGAGAUCAUGUGGAAUAAAAACAUCAAAUUGAAUUUUUAAAUGCAACAGUUAACACAAUUGAAAAUAUGACUUCAACAUCAAAUAUGAAAAGCUGAGAUCAUGUGGAAUAAAAACAUCAAAUUGAAUUUUUAAAUGCAACAGUUAACACAAUUGAAAAUAUGACUUCAACAUCAAAUAUGAAAAGCUG